GCUUGCUUCUCUGACGUUAGCGGCGGACGGGUGAGUAACACGUGGAUAACCUACCUAUAAGACUGGGAUAACUUCGGGAAACCGGAGCUAAUACCGGAUAAUAUAUUGAACCGCAUGGUUCAAUAGUGAAAGACGGUUUUGCUGUCACUUAUAGAUGGAUCCGCGCCGCAUUAGCUAGUUGGUAAGGUAACGGCUUACCAAGGCAACGGUGCGUAGCCGACCUGAGAGGGUGAUCGGCCACACUGGAACUGAGACACGGUCCAGACUCCUACGGGAGGCAGCAGUAGGGAAUCUUCCGCAAUGGGCGAAAGCCUGACGGAGCAACGCCGCGUGAGUGAUGAAGGUCUUCGGAUCGUAAAACUCUGUUAUUAGGGAAGAACAAAUGUGUAAGUAACUAUGCACGUCUUGACGGUACCUAAUCAGAAAGCCACGGCUAACUACGUGCCAGCAGCCGCGGUAACACGUAGGUGGCAAGCGUUAUCCGGAAUUAUUGGGCGUAAAGCGCGCGUAGGCGGUUUUUUAAGUCUGAUGUGAAAGCCCACGGCUCAACCGUGGAGGGUCAUUGGAAACUGGAAAACUUGAGUGCAGAAGAGGAAAGUGGAAUUCCAUGUGUAGCGGUGAAAUGCGCAGAGAUAUGGAGGAACACCAGUGGCGAAGGCGACUUUCUGGUCUGUAACUGACGCUGAUGUGCGAAAGCGUGGGGAUCAAACAGGAUUAGAUACCCUGGUAGUCCACGCCGUAAACGAUGAGUGCUAAGUGUUAGGGGGUUUCCGCCCCUUA
rnacentral:rRNA from 1 species